AGAAAAGUGUGUGUGUGUGUGUGUGUGUGUGUGUGUGAGAGAGAGAGAGAGAAAGAGAGAGAAGAGGAAAGUGGGGAAUUGCUAGCUGUGCACCUCUUCCCCUUCCACAGUUUUCCUAGCCAUCUAGAUAUCUUACAAAUUUUUGGCAGAAGAUAUGUUCCAAUUCACAUUCCACCCCUUCCAUUUCUCACCCAAAGAGUCAUUACGAGUGAAUGGUAAGCUAAAAUGAUGACUAAAAAAGAAAUGUAUUCUGUGUCUUAGAAAUAAAGGCACAAAAGAUAUUUUAUUCUGUUUUCAGCAAACUAUACUGGAAUUCUAACAUCUGUUAACUGUCUUUUAGGUUUUUAAAAAAUUCGAUUAGGAGUGGUGUUCUGGGAAUUAGAGAGAUUAUAUUGUAAUGAAGUUGGAAUUAUCUAGACAGACAAUUGAGGAAAGGGCAUUCCAGGUUGAAUUACAAAGGCAUGAAGGUGAAAGAGAGGGUGAUGCCUUUGGAGAUUAUAGGUAGUUUCAUUUGGCUAAAACCAAAGAUGGUAGGAGAUGAAAUUUGAGAGAUAAGAAGCAGCAAAUUGGUGAAGUACCUCAUAUGCCAUGCUAAAAAAAAAUUGGAUUUUAUCCUGAAGAUGAAUGGAAAGAUGAUGAAAACAUAUUAAAAAGGAUGAAAAGCCUGACUGCAGUGUGAAACAAGGAUGGUUUCCUGGGAGGAAAGGAGACUAAAGACAGAGAAUACCGGCUGUUGCUGUAGUCCAGAAGAGAAGAUAGGAAGGAAAACUGAAAAUACUUGAUGAUCAAUUAAGUGUUUAUGUUUAGCAUAGAGAUAGGAAACUUUAUUAACUUUCAAAGGCUUGGGUCUUUGGACGAUGGUGCUGUUAAUCAUCUAGAAAAAGAAUAUAAAAGGAAGAGCUGUUACUCAUCUAGGAAAAAGAAUACAAAAGUUAUGGCUGGAGGAGUGGGAAAACAGAAAUGAAUUAGUUGGUGAAUGUUGAGUUUAAGGAACCCUAAAUACAAUUGAGAAUGUUUAGUAGGCAGUUGAUUAAAUAGACCUGGAGCUUAGGAAAAAGCCUGGUCUAGAGAAUUAGUUCAUCAACCAAUCAACUCAAUAUCAAAUAAUCUCAACUAAAUAACUAAUAGAGUUAUUCAACUAAAUGAUAGCUGAAGUCAUGGUUGUACCACUAAGAAGUUACUGUGGUCUUACUGUGUGCCAGGCAUUUCACACAUCUGAACUCGUUCACUCUCCUUCCAACCCUAUGAAGUAGGUACUAUUAUUAGUCCCAUUUUAUAAAUGGGGGAAACAUCAGAGAUGCCAGGUAACCUGCCCCAAAUCACACACACAGCCAGAAAAUGGCGAGACCCUGGCAGAGUAUUUCUAGUGUCUUUGUUUCUCACCAUUAUGCUGUACUGCCCCUUAGAAUAGAUUAUAGAGUUCAUGAUAGGACUGAGAGCAGAAUCAUUUAAGGGUUGGGUUGAGAACUGGGAAGGAAACUGACAAGAGGUAGGCAAAGAAGUAGGGGAAAAAUUAGGAGAGUGUCAUCAUGGAAGUUAAAGGAAGAGUAUUUCAAGAGAAUGGAGGUGAGUGGAAGGCUGCUGAUGACAGCAGUGUUGGAAGAACCACACAUGCAUACCCUGAUAUGAAGGUAGGCAGAGCAAAGUGAAGGUCAAUACAACCAGAAGCAGUUCCAGCCCUGACAGAGGUCAAAUCUCUGCUUGGUCUCUAUUUCACUGAAGUUGUAGCAAGUGGCAUGGACUUCAGGAAGGGAGAUGAGAGGUGUGUACGCAAUGGACUGCACAUUUCCUUUGCAUAUUUAUAAACAAGUCUGCUGUGAGUCUUACUAAAUAAAGAUGAUGCCAUACACAGAUGGAGUUAAUUUGUUUGCAUGAUUUAAAUGUAUAGAAAUAUAUAAAUAUGAGGAGGAAAAUGGAAACUAGCCUUUAUUCCACUUUAAGAGCUAUCUGUCCUGUUUACCUUAGGUAGAUCUAAACCAGAGGUAUGGUGCCAAGGCAAACCAUCAUUCCCUGUAGAUGGAUCCUCUCUUUACUCUGUUUUACUCUUAUUUCCCUGUGUGUCUAAUUCUGUCUAAAUUUCCCUUAUUGUGUUGCUCAUUUUUUCUCCUUGUUUCUGAAUUCAUAGCUGCUCAAAAUAGUUGAUUCAUUUUUAUAUUCAGCAACACUGAGAUCCAUACAAUAUGCUUGGCGUUGUGCUUAUGCAUGCUGGCUGUAAGUGGCACACAGCAGCUCUUGGUAAUUAUCUAAUUGUCUCUGAAUCAUGUUCUGAGCCACUUAGGAAAGUUUUCCCCUAAGAAGCACAUUUCGACCCUGGCCUCCAAAUCCCUUGUGUUUUCAAACAUGUGUUUAUUACUAGCUGGACUUCCUAUCAUUUCCAGGAAGAAUUAUUAAACAUUAUCGAACUUAUAAUUGCUUGUCAUUCAUCCUGAUGUCCAUUACAUGGAGUUGUCCAUUUGAGAAGGAGUUGAAUUGCAAACCAAGGCCUGCAAUCACAGAGUCUGCCUUUGUGGCUUUUAAUUUGUGGCCCAAAUCUGAAACCACUCUUAGUUUUCCUGUACGUGGAGCCUUAAGGCCUUUUUGUUUUCUUUCCUGAUGGGCUGUUACUCAGACUGCUUAUCGAACCCGCUUUAUGUAGCUUUGAAGACCACCCUGUUUCUUUGAGACGGCCUCAGGAGCCUCCCAAAGUAAACCUUUUAUGUGACAUAGAGCUUCUAUUUUAAGUAAAACCAUACAAAUGUAAUGUACACAUUUCCAGAAAGUAAGUCCAGCUAUGUAUUUUUAUGUGAUGAUGAUGGUGGUGGUGAGGAUGAUGAUGAUGAUGAUGUGUGUGUUUAUUUCUAAAGGUAUAUGGUGUCACUCUUAGGUGCAAUCAGGUUUGUUAGAAAUAGAAAAUCCUCACAAAUUAGUGAUAAGACCGAUUCAUGAGUAGAGAAACAUUUUAUACAGAAUUUAAGCAAUUACAAAGUACUGAAAUUAAAUUUGUAAAGGGAUCUAAUUAGUAUUUAAAAAAAAAAAAACUCCCAAAAUUGAAAAAUAAAGAAAAACACCAAAAACAGCCAAAUCCUUCCAAUCAGAUGAAGUCUCAAGAGAUGUCUCAGAUACAAAUAAUUUCAGAUAUCAGACAUCUUAAGCUUGUGAGAAAAAAAAAAAAAAGGAACGUGUGUUAGUUCUUCCUCUGAUGUCCACCUGGGAGCUCAUGCAUUCGCCCUAAUUUAGAAUCUGCUGCUCCUCUGUUCCAUGAUUGACCCCUUUCUCUCAUUUCCCUCAGGCUUGACUCCUUCGGGGCUCAUCAAGGCUGGCAGUAUGGGGAGAAGCAGCAGCUGGUUUCAGCCUUCACAGCUCACAUCUUCCCAGGACAGAGGUCCUGAGUUAUUGCCCUAAUCUUCUCGAAGUUGUUUCACAGAGACAAGCAUCUGGUUGGAUCAACCCAGAAUUGAGGUCAGGGGUACAGCCAUCUCAAACCACAUCAGCUGAAUCACCAUCUCCCUAGUUCCACAUUGCUCAAUCUGAGGACAAAUUGCAACAUAUUUAGCAACCUAUAUGGUGGCAUAUGUUUUAUAAAUAAAUGUAUUUCUAUAAAUCUGUAUAUAAAUAAAAAUUAAAAAUAUUUCCUUUUUAUUCUUUAAACUAAACUAUGUAUCACGAAACUGUUUAUAGUGUAAUGUAGCUUACAAGGCAACAUUUUCAUCAAAUCAUUCUAAUAAUUUUUAAAUCAUUAUCGAUUUUUAGAAAUUACUGGUAUGGUCUUAUGUUUGGUAAGCUCUCACUAAACUAAAUGCUGCUUGUCUCUAAGCUAUAGUUGUACGGAGGAAACUGUACUAAAUGCGUCCAGUGGCUUCUCCUUGUGUAGAUGGUUAUCAGGUGUGGGCCCGGGCACGUGCCUCAGCAGGAGAGCGAUUGGGUGGGGUGCCCAUCGUAUUUAGAAUGCUAAUGUUUCUCACGUCAUCUGUACCCAGAGAACUUUUGCUUCUGCCCCAUCUGCAACACUGUCACCAGCCCAACUUGUUCUGCUACUCCUGCCAACCCUGGACCCCUCCUGAGCAGCAAGUAGGCACUGCGCCUGUCCCAGCUUCCACCUUGGUCUUAGCUCAUGCUGCCCGGUCCAGAUGCACCAGUCCCAAGUCCCAAAACCGCCCAUGCAGUGGCCACUGCAUGAUGUCAUUUGGUGGCAUGUGGUCUAACUUAAGCUACUUACCAACCAUCAGGGCAGAAUUUCCAAUUUCAACCUGCAGUAACAUCAUGCCUGUGUGUACUGGCUGAAUAUCAGCCAUGGCCCCAUCUCUUCUGUGUAGUUCUGCAAAUCUCAAGGCCUUCUCUCAUAUUUAUGUUAGAACAAGCCCAUGAAUGCCGUUUUCUUCUAUCUCAUGAUCCCUACCAUUUUUUCUUCUGUUUCUCACCUCCAUAAAAUGGCUCCCAUGUUGAUGCAUUGAUUCCUGGAAGGAGCUUCUGUUUUGCUUUGCCUCUUAACAUCACUCAAGUGAUGCUGCCCUGGCUGAUACUCUGUUUCUGAGCUGAAGCAGGAAAAAAUCCCCUCCGUUGGCCUGAGUGGCCCGUGAUCUCCAGCCCAAGGCUGCCUCAUGCUCUUUGUGACUUACUCCUUGCUAUAAUCCAGAGUCUGUGGAUGAUCACAUCAGAAAACACCAUCAGUUUACUGUUGCCUCCCACUGCUCACCAUCGUCUGAAUUAAGACUGCACAUUCUGGCUCUUUGCCUCGGGUAAUUUUUUUUCCCAAUAACUUGGGAGCUUUGAUUCCUAGUGGCUUAGGAGAGUUGUUCUCCACACAGCUGGGCACAAGAGGCAGCCAGUUGAGUGGGACCAAGGCAUGAAGGCUGAAAACCUCGCAGGUGACUUGGAUCUGCAUCCCAGGUUGAGAAUCUCCAGUUUAGGAGUCUCUUUUGAGUCCUAAAGGAAAUACUCAAUUUCCCCCAUCUGUCAGGCCCCUGCUACAUCUACCAACAUGGGCAAUGGUAUUAGUUCUUAAGAAGUUCAUAUACAGCUUAGAUUGUUGCUCAGAGACUCCUGCCACUCUGUGAACAACCACCCUUAUGGAUACUGACGCACAAUUUCCUUUGGGUUGAUCUCAUAAGUUGCAUUUCCAAAAAAAAAAAGAAAGAAAGAAAGAAAGAAAGAAAGAAAAUAAUAAGACCUCGGCAUCAUAAGGAAACCACUUGUAGUUGCUCCAUUUCCUGGAGCCUACAGCUGGCAAAAUGCCUGGGACAAGAUGUAUUCAAUUCAAGGCAAAGCAGAGUUGUUAGAAGAAGCAGAUGGCCCACCUAAGGUGAAAAAAUUACUUUCUUGUGAGGAUAGGCGGGGCAGUUUAUUCACCUCUUCCUCUAGGAAGGUGAGAACGUGUGGAGACAAAAUAAAUAAAACACAUUACAAGCUCCUUCCACAGAUGCACAGAACAAUUGGUGCUGCACAUGGCUACAGGAGGCAUCUUCCAGCCUCCAGAAGGGCUGUAGGAGCUUGUCAUGCAUGCAUUAAAGUGUCCCCAGAACUCAAAAACCAUUCCAUCAGAGGAGCUAGUAAGAACCAACGAGUCACUGACAACAGGAACCAUCAGUUACCGUCUCUGAGAGCUGGUAAUAAACAGCAACAAAGAUUGGGGAUAGUUACGAUGAGCCAGGUAAAAAGGGUCAGGAAAAUGACUGAAUAGAUUACAAGGCAGCAGGAACUGUGAUCCAUCUGAAGAAAAAGGGGAAUCGUGUGAGCGGAGGUGUGGCAGCUAGAUAAUCUGCACAUAUUGAGGUGAGGGGAGGCCAGGCAGUGAGAAUUUGUUGUGAUUCUCUAACACUUUCCAGAGGAGAGAGACACGUUUCUUGGUAGCUACUCCUGUUCAGAUAAUCUAGAAAGUACAUUUCAUUCAGAAGUCUUCUCCAGUAUCUGGAUGCUGCACCCCUUAAGGUUAUGAAAUGUUUUUGCUCUGAAUCCUUGUUCACAAGCAACAGUCUGAUCAUGAAUUUGGUCUCCCAGGUACCUUGAUAAUGGGCAGAAUGUGUCCAAGAUUGAGGAAACAAGUUUGGAGAUCCUUGGAAAGGCUUAUUCUGUACCUGUUACAAAUAAAUAAAUGUGGGUUUUGUUUGAGAGUUUGGUUAGCACAGGUCAGUUUCAACCUAAUCACCCAGCGACACAGACAAAAUCCUCUCUUGAGACCUGCAUGGCUGAGGGUCAGACCCCAGAACACUAUGGCCACUCCUCUGUAUUGCCAUCCUGUGAGGCUCCACUGGAGCAGCCUCGGCCUUCUUCCCUGACAUUUGUGUCUGUUUAAAUUUCACACAGUCAGUCCAGAAAGUCAUCUCCCCACCAGUUUCUUUAAAAUCAACAGAGGCUACUUCUAAGUAAUGUUUUCUGUAAUGCAUUCUGGAGUCUCAUAGCCCUGAACCUUAGGAAACAAGUUGCAUCUCACACUCUAUAAUCAUAUACCCAAGUAGCAAACUUUCAGCUUCCUGCAGUGGUCCCUGCUGUCUUCUUUAUCCUGAUGAGGUGAGUCUUGGUGAGGCCACAUGGUGACAUACAGGGGAUCCUUAAGCAAGGAGUGGGAAGGGAAAGGUUAUGCUGCCACGCACAGCUCCAACCCCGAGUCCUCAGGCCCCAUGAUCAUGUCGUUUGAAUGGAGGGUGGCUUGGGUUAAAUGAAGAAAGGGGUGGGUGUUCUCAUCUACAAGAGCAGAACUAGAAGGGUGCUUCUUGUCAGCUGUGUUCACAGCAGCUGUGGCUGGGUGCACAGCUUUCCCCAUUUUUCCACUGUUGAAAAGAGUGUGUGCUUGUGUGGCUGGUGCUGGCAUUCUCAUCCCUGACUCUUGUAAAGGUACCACAUCAUCGCUUCAAGCACUCUCUCUCAGUUUUCUCCUCCCUAGGGUGAGAAUAGUUGACAUUGUGCACUCCUUGGUGGGCACUACGCACUUGCUUGCUAGAGGACACUUCUUCACUGGUAUUUUGGUAGCAAGUAGCCCUCUCCUGUCUCCAGAAUAAAAGGGAAGCAGCAGUGACCCAGCUCUGGAAAUUAUCCACCAAGUUCACAUUCCAUAUAUUGCCCUAUAUCCCUUGAAAACAGCAAAUUUAUAUGCAAAAUAAAAACAUUAAUAUUACAUAUUAAUUUCUUCUUCCCCCUGUUUGGAGAGUUGGCAGAAGGACUAAUAAAGAUGACUAGUGUGAAUAGUCUCUCAAAAUAGUCAUUUCAUAAAUUGAAUAGGAGAUGCAUUCACUGCAGCUGAGAUUUAUGAAGGUUCGGUGAGGUGGCAAAACAGGGUUUGCAAUUCAGGAUUUUAUUGCCCUUAGGGCUGUGGCUAAUCUGUUGUGAAGCAAGGUUUCAGUUGGGUAAAGAUUGAGUAACUAGAACAGAGAUGCAUUGUGUAACCCCUGUUUCCUUUUUAUUUCUUGCGGACCAGUGAAUAUCCUAAGUCCCAAACUGUAUGCCAGCUUAGUAGCUUUAAUUUUUGAGUGUUUUGUAUCAUGACAGCUCAGCAUUUCUUGCAAAAAGUGGUCAUAGAUAACCAUGGCCAUUAUAUCAGUCUCUGUGCUGAUGCUGAAUUUGUCUGACAGACUCACACAAGGGCCUCUAAAUAACCUUUUUAAAGGGAAAGAGAAUCGGCAUUUACCAAUUACUUAUUCUGUUGCCAAACGACCUUUAUUUCUCAUGGCAAAUCUGUGACAUUGGUAUUACAGGUAUUUCACCUUUGUUCUGGAUAGGAUUGAGGCUCAGAGAAAUUAAAUAGCUUGCUCAAGUUACUUAAUUAAGAACCUUAGAAGCCUAAAACAAACAUGAUCUCUUCUGGUCAGUUUUAUACAGGAGAAGUGAGGUUUCAGGAUUUAAACCAGGCCUUUCUGCCUCAAAUCUAUUGCUCCUUCCACUGUGCUGUGUGGCUGCAUGCACACCAGGGUUGGAGAAAUGCCAUAGGGUUUUAAAGCACCACCAAUAAAAUCAUACGAAAGAAAACAUAUUUUGAAAAAAAAGGCUGAUUGUCAUAUUGAAGCGCCCCACCGGCAAGUCUCUAGGAGGCCCCAGUAAGACCAGUGUGUGUGCCCUGGGGUGUUUUGAGUACCUAGGAGGGCAGGGGACAGCAGUCUCCCCUCCCGCAGUGUAGAUGAGCCGGGCAGGGAUAGCAGCAAUGCUGCCCCCGAAGUAUCUGCCAACUUCCAGUCAGUGGCCCUAACGUUUUCCUAGGUAUCUGAGUGUCAUCUUUUACAAUGUCUUAUCCUGCUCAAAGCCUCCAACAUUUGCCAUUUGGAAGAGAUUAUGUCCCGACAACGCCUUUCUCAUUUCCAUGCUCACCCCCAAAGCACAGCUUAGACGCCUGUGCGGGGAUCCUGUCUGCCGUAAGAGCCUCCCAAACGAUGCUCCCCGCUGCCAGCCACUCCUUGCGCCCAUCUUGUGGCUGCUAGAUAUAUCGUCCUACAGCACAGCUCUGAUGAUCUCAUACCUCUGUUCAAGAGGAAGGAAGUUUCCAGAUUUCAAAGUCCAGUGCCAGGUGUGGUGGCGCGCCUGUGGUCCGGGUGACUGAGGAGGCUGAGGUGGGAGGAUCGCUUA